AUUGAACGCUGGCGGCAGGCUUAACACAUGCAAGUCGAGCGGUAACAGAGAGAAGCUUGCUUCUCUGCUGACGAGCGGCGGACGGGUGAGUAAUGCCUAGGAAUCUGCCUAGUAGUGGGGGAUAACUUGCCGAAAGGUAAGCUAAUACCGCAUACGUCCUACGGGAGAAAGGAGGGGACCUUCGGGCCUUUCGCUAUUAGAUGAGCCUAGGUCGGAUUAGUUAGUUGGUGAGGUAAUGGCUCACCAAGACCGCGAUCCGUAACUGGUCUGGGAGGAUGAUCAGUCACACUGGAACUGAGACAAGGUCCAGACUCCUACGGGAGGCAUCAGUGGGGAAUAUUGGACAAUGGGGGGAACCCUGAUCCAGCCAUGCCGCGUGUGUGAAGAAGGUCUUAGGAUUGUAAAGCACUUUAAGUUGGGAGGAAGAGCAGUUAACUAAUAUUUGACUGUUUUGACGUUACCGACAGAAUAAGCACCGGCUAACUUCGUGCCAGCAGCCGCCGCUG
rnacentral:rRNA from 1 species